rnacentral:rRNA from 1 species
AGGAAGUAGGGGAUCGCAAGACCUUGCGCUUUUGGAGCGGCCGAUGCCUGAUUAGCUUGUUGGUGAGGUAAAAGCUCACCAAGGCUCCGAUCAGUAGCUGGUCUGAGAGGACGACCAGCCACACUGGGACUGAGACACGGCCCAGACUCCUACGGGAGGCAGCAGUGGGGAAUUUUGGACAAUGGGGGCAACCCUGAUCCAGCCAUGCCGCGUGAGUGAAGAAGGCCUUCGGGUUGUAAAGCUCUUUCAGCCGGAACGAAACGGUCACGGUCAAUACCCGUGACUACUGACGGUACCGGAAGAAGAAGCACCGGCUAACUACGUGCCAGCAGCCGCGGUAAUACGUAGGGUGCGAGCGUUAAUCGGAAUUACUGGGCGUAAAGCGUGCGCAGGCGGUUUUGUAAGUCAGAUGUGAAAUCCCCGGGCUUAACCUGGGAACUGCGUUUGAAACUACAAAGCUAG